rnacentral:rRNA from 1 species
GCGUUGUCCGGAAUUAUUGGGCGUAAAGGGCGUGUAGGUGGGUUUUUAAGUCGUGAGUCUAAGUGCGGAGCUUAACUCCGUAUAGGCGCAGGAAACUGGAGAUCUUGAGUGCAGGAGAGGAAAGUGGAAUUCCCAGUGUAGCGGUGAAAUGCGUAGAUAUUGGGAGGAACACCAGUGGCGAAGGCGACUUUCUGGACUGUGUCUGACACUGAGGCGCGAAAGCCAG